UUACGGCCAUAUCAUGUUGAAACAUUGGUUCCUGUAUGAUCACCGGAGUUAAACAACGACGAGUCUGGUCAGUGCCUAGAUGGGUGACCAUGUGAGAAUACCAGGUAUUGUAAGC